rnacentral:tRNA from 3 species
GGUCCAUUAGUCUAAUCGGUUAGGACACAGGCCUCUCAAGCCUGGAGCACGGGUUCGAAUCCCGUAUGGACCACCA